rnacentral:rRNA from 1 species
GAUGAACGCUGGCGGCGUGCUUAACACAUGCAAGUCGAACGAAGCACCUUUACGGAAGUUUUCGGAUGGAAGUGAUGGUGACUGAGUGGCGGACGGGUGAGUAACGCGUGGGUAACCUGCCUCAUACAGGGGGAUAACAGUUAGAAAUGACUGCUAAUACCGCAUAAGCGCACAGGACCGCAUGGUCUGGUGUGAAAAACUCCGGUGGUAUGAGAUGGACCCGCGUCUGAUUAGCUAGUUGGUGAGGUAACGGCCCACCAAGGCGACGAUCAGUAGCCGACCUGAGAGGGUGACCGGCCACAUUGGGACUGAGACACGGCCCAAAACUCCUACGGGAGGCAGCAGUGGGGAAUAUUGCACAAUGGCGAAGACCUCGAUGCGAGCGACGCCGCGUGAGCGAGAG